AGAGUUUGAUCCUGGCUCAGGAUGAACGCUGGCGGCGUGCUUAACACAUGCAAGUCGAACGGUGAACACGGAGCUUGCUCUGUGGGAUCAGUGGCGAACGGGUGAGUAACACGUGAGCAACCUGCCCCUGACUCUGGGAUAAGCGCUGGAAACGGCGUCUAAUACUGGAUAUGUGACGUGACCGCAUGGUCUGCGUCUGGAAAGAAUUUCGGUUGGGGAUGGGCUCGCGGCCUAUCAGCUUGUUGGUGAGGUAAUGGCUCACCAAGGCUUCGACGGGUAGCUGGUCUGAGAGGACGAUCAGCCACACUGGGACUGAGACACGGCCCAGACUCCUACGGGGGGCAGCAGUGGGGAAUCUUGCNNUGCGCAAUGGGCGAAAGCCUGACGCAGUAACGCCGCGUGGGGGAAGAAGGCCUUCGGGUCGUAAACCCCUUUCAGCAGGGACGAAAUUGACGGUACCUGCAGAAGAAGCGCCGGCCAACUACGUGCCAGCAGCCGCGGUAAUACGUAGGGCGCAAGCGUUGUCCGGAUUCAUUGGGCGUAAAGGGCUCGUAGGCGGUUCGGUAAGUCGGGUGUGAAAACUCAGGGCUCAACUCUGAGAGGCCACUCGAUACUGCCAUGACUAGAGUCCGGUAGAGGAGUGUGGAAUUCCUGGUGUAGCGGUGAAAUGCGCAGAUAUCAGGAGGAACACCGACAGCGAAGGCAGCACUCUGGGCCGGUACUGACGCUGAGGAGCGAAAGCGUGGGGAGCGAACAGGAUUAGAUACCCUGGUAGUCCACGCCGUAAACGAUGAGAACUAGAUGUCGGAAGGGUUACCUCUCGGUGUCGCAGCUAACGCAUUAAGCACUCCGCCUGGGGAGUACGGCCGCA
rnacentral:rRNA from 1 species